rnacentral:misc_RNA from 1 species
ACAAGUUCACAACUCAAGCAAUAGGGACUCACCGCCACCUCCUAAACAGAGAAAAAAAAAAAAAAUCCCAUCCUUUCUUCUUUAAGAUUAGUUUUGGAAAUGGAAUAUCUAUAUGUGUUGGGAGGAAUCAUAGCUUCUGUUUACAGUUUUGUAUUGCUGUAUAGAUCAACAGGAAAGAAAAAAACCACAGCUUCAAGGGAGGUUGGGAGAGAUGAAAGAUUGCAGGGAGAUGAAAAUGGAAUAAAUGAGGCAGAAAAAGCCAUGAAUCCAGAUGUAAUUAUUGUUGGUGCUGGUGUUGCUGGUUCUGCUCUUGCUUACACUCUUGGCAAGGAUGGACGAAAAGUACAAGUGAUUGAAAGAGACCUGAAUAAGCCUGAUAGAAUUGUUGGAGAACUCCUACAGCCAGGAGGCUAUCUCAAACUAAUUGCGUUGGGCCUUGAAGAUUGUGUAGAAGACAUCGAUGCUCAACAAGUAUUUGGAUACGCUUUGUAUAAGGGUGGGAGAAGUACAAAACUUUCCUAUCCCUUGCAAAGUUUUGACUCAAAUGUUUCUGGGAGAAGCUUUCAUAAUGGGCGUUUCAUUCAAAGGAUGCGGGAAAAAGCUGCUUCUCUAUCCAAUGUGAGAUUGGAAGAAGGAACAGUAACAUCCUUACUUGAAGUAAAAGGAACAAUCAAGGGCGUACAAUACAAAACUAAAAGCGGUCGAGAACUUACUGCUCAUGCUCCACUCACAAUUGUAUGCGACGGUUGUUUUUCAAAUUUGCGACGCUCUCUUUGCAACCCCAAGGUCGAUAUUCCCUCUUGUUUUGUCGCUUUGAUCUUGGAAAACUGUGAACUUCCGUACCCAAAUCAUGGACACGUUAUUCUAGCGGACCCUUCACCAAUCUUGUUCUACAGGAUUAGUAGCUCUGAAAUUCGUUGUUUGGUAGACAUACCAGCUGGCCAAAAGCUACCUUCCAUUUCAAAUGGUGAAAUGGCAAACUAUUUGAAAUCCGUGGUGGCUCCCCAGAUCCCUCCUGAGCUCUCAGAGGCUUUCAUUUCUGCCGUUAACAAAGGAAACAUAAGAACAAUGCCUAAUAGAAGCAUGCCUGCUGCUCCUCAUCCCACUCCAGGUGCUCUUCUUUUGGGGGAUGCGUUCAACAUGAGGCAUCCUUUAACCGGAGGAGGAAUGACUGUGGCACUUUCUGAUAUAGUUUUGUUGCAGAAUCUUCUCAGACCUCUACAUGAUUUAAGUGAUAAAUCAACACUUUGUGAAUAUCUUAAAUCUUUUUAUACACUUCGCAAGCCGGUGGCAUCUACCAUAAAUACAUUAGCAGGAGCCUUAUACAAGGUGUUUAGUGCAUCACAUGAUUCAGCACAAAGUGAAAUUCGUCAAGCAUGUUUUGACUAUUUGAACCUUGGCGGUGUAUUUUCGAGUGGUCCGAUUGCUUUACUCUCAGGUCUAAACCCUCACCCACUGAGCUUGGUUGUCCACUUCCUUGCUGUGGCUACUUAUGGUGUCGGUCGGUUGGUAUUUCCAUUCCCUUCAGCUACACGCAUGUGGACUGGGGUUAGAAUGAUCUCAGUAUGUAUAGCUAACUACACUUCUAAAUAUGAGUUACAGUUUUCGAUUGACCUUCAUUAAAUUCUGCUUAUGUUAAUGCAUAUAUAUGCAGAUAUAGUUUCUAUUUUUUUUUCCUGCUUGACAUUGUUCUUGUUUGUUUAGGUUGCAUCGAGGAUCAUCUUCCCAAUAAUAAGAGCUGAAGGAGCUCAACAUAUGUUCUUCCCUAGGACAAUGCCUGCAUAUUGCAGAUCUGCAGCUGUUUGAAAAGCAAGAAACUAAAAGAUGCAAAAACAAUGAAACUUGGCAGAAUAGCUUCUCCUUCUCCUCCUUUCAAUUAAGUGAUGAAGCAACAAUAUGAGGCCAGAUGAAAUGAGAAAAUGUUAAAUUUUAUACUAGAUCAUCGCUAACAGAUUCAUUUAUUUAUUUAUUUUUCAGAUUGGAUGAGAAAUUUACUACAUCUAGUCAAGUUUCCAUUUUCGAAAAUCAUGUAAGUUAUUUAUUCAUUCUUGUUCUGAUAUUCCAGUGUAAUUGUACAUUGUUGUGCAACUGAACUGAUGAUCUGAAAUAUCAGUUAUCCACUUAUCACUGCUUUAGCUCAUCGAUUAACAGAAUUUCAAAGUUAAAAAAGUUUUUUUUAAUUAUUUUAUUAAAUAUAACUAAAAAACAAUUGAAAUGUUAUUUUGUUAAUUAAUUUUAUAUUCUUAAAACAUAUUAAUUUUUAUUAAUUUUUAACACUUUUUAAUUAAUAUAUUUAAAAAAAUAAUUUUCACAGCAACAGCUCCAAAAGCAAUGCCAAACCGAACUUAGACUUUGUUUAAUUAAACUUGCUUGAGAAAUGUGCACACCUCUUUCAACAAAGCAAUAAUGGUAAGAAUAAGAUACAUUGGAGGAGGAGACCUAGUUUGGCAAAAAUUAGUUAGUGCAAUUUCUGUUUCUAUUGCUAAUCUGAACCGAGAGACCAGUUGCUCAUCUACUUUUCUUCAUUAAACUUUAAAGGGAAUAGACAAGCAUUGCAUAGGCCUUAAAGUAACAAUUAUAUGCCAACUUCCCACAACCACAACCUAACUCUACAAUCGGAAUUCUUGAAACAAACUGAAAAAUAUAGCUAAAACAAAAAAACACCUGCUCUUACAAUCUCUACGAUCCUUAUCAUUAUACACCCAUUUCACGACAACCAUAGCUUGUUCCCAUUUUCCCUUUUCUCCAAGCUCCUCCACAAUCUUCAGCAACUGCCCUUCACUAAACCGCAGCCCGGACUGCUUCAUUAUCCUUGCUAACUUCCAGUCUCUCAGAGUCACCUCUCUGCUACUUAAUCUAUUAACAAGAAACCGAAUUGCCUCCCUAUCAUUGCGUCUUCUCUUGAAUGGAUCAAAUUCCCGUUUAUUUUCGCUCCUCAGCCAACCAUCAUCUUCAAUUUCAAUAUCAUUAUCCAAAACCCAUGUCAAACCAUCCUCAAAUAUUUCCUUCAAUUCUCUCAAAUUCUCCGUCUUUAACUUCGGUCCAUUGAACUCCUUGUUUCCACUCGCAAACUCUCUCAGUCUCGCUCUCUCUAUACUCUCCCAUGGCCUCCCCACCAACAAACCGCUACUGCCAGACCGAGUCUCUGUUUUUAUUGCCUUAGUGAAGCAUCUGUAUUCCCGUUUCAAGGUUUGGAAAUGAGAUUCCUCGGCGAGGGCUUGCUUUUGGGGGGUGGUGAGGGGUGGGGAUUGCUGGGUUUGUGCCAUUUUGGUGAGUUUGCGGUUGUGUUUUUGAAUUUCUUUCUUGCGCAGAGCGCGGGUGAUUUUGGGAGUUGGAUAUACGCCUUUCCUGAGAAGCCUACGUUUGAUGGCAUCGAUGUUUGGUUGAAACUGGGGAGCUGAAGGAGAAGAGGAGGGAGCUGUUGAAGCUUCCAUGACUAGAAGAAAGGGAGUGAACUAGGGAAGAAGAAGAAAAGUGAAAUGGCUAAGCUAGCCUUCUCCUUCACCAUGUUGGGAAA